rnacentral:rRNA from 1 species
UACGUAGGGAGCAAGCGUUGUCCGGAAUUACUGGGCGUAAAGGGUGCGUAGGCGGCCAAGCAAGUCAGAUGUGAAAGACCGGGGCUCAACUCCGGGAUUGCAUUUGAAACUGCGUGGCUUGAGUGCAGGAGAGGCAAGUGGAAUUCCUAGUGUAGCGGUGAAAUGCGUAGAUAUUAGGAGGAACACCAGUGGCGAAGGCGACUUGCUGGACUGUAACUGACGCUGAGGCACGAAAGCGUGGGGAGCAAACAGG